UACGAAGGGUGCUAGCGUUGUUCGGAAUUACUGGGCGUAAAGCGCACGUAGGCGGAUACUUAAGUCAGGGGUGAAAUCCCGGGGCUCAACCCCGGAACUGCCUUUGAUACUGGGUAUCUCGAGUCCGGAAGAGGUGAGUGGAAUUCCGAGUGUAGAGGUGAAAUUCGUAGAUAUUCGGAGGAACACCAGUGGCGAAGGCGGCUCACUGGUCCGGUACUGACGCUGAGGUGCGAAAGCGUGGGGAGCGAACCGG
rnacentral:rRNA from 1 species